CCUACGGGGUGCUGCAGUGGGGAAUAUUGCACAAUGGGCGCAAGCCUGAUGCAGCCAUGCCGCGUGUGUGAAGAAGGCCUUCGGGUUGUAGAGCACUUUCAGCGGGGAGGAAGGCGUUAAGGUUAAUAACCUUGUCGAUUGACGUUACCCGCAGAAGAAGCACCGGCUAACUCCGUGCCAGCAGCCGCGGUAAUACGGAGGGUGCAAGCGUUAAUCGGAAUUACUGGGCGUAAAGCGCACGCAGGCGGUCUGUCAAGUCGGAUGUGAAAUCCCCGGGCUCAACCUGGGAACUGCAUUCGAAACUGGCAGGCUAGAGUCUUGUAGAGGGGGGUAGAAUUCCAGGUGUAGCGGUGAAAUGCGUAGAGAUCUGGAGGAGUACCGGUGGCGAAGGCGGCCCCCUGGACAAAGACUGACGCUCAGGUGCGAAAGCGUGGGGAGCAAACAGGAUUAGAUACCCGAGUAGUC
rnacentral:rRNA from 1 species